rnacentral:rRNA from 1 species
GACGAACGCUGGCGGCGUGCUUAACACAUGCAAGUCGAACGGAAAGGCCCUGCUUUUGUGGGGUGCUCGAGUGGCGAACGGGUGAGUAACACGUGAGUAACCUGCCCUUGACUUUGGGAUAACUUCAGGAAACUGGGGCUAAUACCGGAUAGGAGCUCCUGCUGCAUGGUGGGGGUUGGAAAGUUUCGGCGGUUGGGGAUGGACUCGCGGCUUAUCAGCUUGUUGGUGGGGUAGUGGCUUACCAAGGCUUUGACGGGUAGCCGGCCUGAGAGGGUGACCGGCCACAUUGGGACUGGGAUACGGCCCAGACUCCUACGGGAGGCAGCAGGGGGGAAUAUUGCACAAUGGGCGGAAGCCUGAUGCAGCAAGGCCGCGGGCGGGAUGACGGCCUUCGGGUUGUAAACCGCUUUCGCCUGUGACGAAGCGUGAGUGACGGUAAUGGGUAAAGAAGCACCGGCUAACUACGUG